CAGUCGCCGCGGUAAUACGGAGGGUGUAAGCGUUAAUCGGAAUUACUGGGCGUAAAGCGUGCGUAGGCGGUUUGUUAAGUCUGUUGUGAAAUCCCCGGGCUCAACCUGGGAAUGGCAAUGGAUACUGGCUCGCUAGAGUGUGUCAGAGGAUGGUGGAAUUCCCGGUGUAGCGGUGAAAUGCGUAGAGAUCGGGGGGAACAUCAGUGGCGAAGGCGGCCAUCUGGGACAACACUGACGCUGAGGCACGAAAGCGUGGGGAGCAAACAGGAUUAGAUACCCCCGUAGUCCCUGUCUCUUAUAC
rnacentral:rRNA from 1 species